CUAAACUCAAUAAUAACGACACUUGAAUAUGGCAUGACAUUUGUCUUGACUGCUUCAAGUACUCACGAAGGAAGAGUCAGUAAAUGCUUGCCCAGCUGCCCUGUGGGGAAGCUAGAAACUAAUGAAUAGUCAGUGAAGUGCACUUGUUAAAUUUAACGACGAAAUUUUCCAGAGACGAAUCUUGGUUGUGAAAUUUAUUAUGGAGAGCUAAAUUUUCAAAUUCUGUGGACGAUUGUUGGUAUGUUGAUUAUCUUGUUUGAAUAUUGAUUCGCGUUUAUAUAUACGCAAUUUCUGCGAUUGCAUCUCAGUAUUAUUAAUCAAUAAUGUUUACAAAGUAUUUAAAGUAAGAUAGCAUCAUUUUAGUAUCAGUUGUUAGUCAAAGUAUACAGAUAAGUAAGGUAUACGUACAGUGUUUAGACCAACUAGAGUAGGAAUCGGAACUGUAUUCAAGCCAAUACUAUUAACAGCUGGAAAAUAUUUGUCAACAAGUGCUUUCUUAAGUGAAAUUAUGACCACAAACAUCAGGAGACACCAAAUUUUAAAGGAAUAAUAUUUUGCUUUUAGGAAGUUUCCUGCCGUGACCUAUAGUCAUGUUGUGGUUCGUAAAUCAGUACCUUUUAUGAACAAAAUACGCCAGAAGUAGUGAUAAUACAGUAUCUAAAUGCAAAUAUUUCAGAUAAAUGUCCCAUAAAAUGGCUACACAGUAUAACACAGUAUUUUACUACACAAAAUUAUAGACAUAGUAUUUUGUGAUUGUGAAAUAAUGAAGGCCGUUGUUGCGGCAGUUUGAGUUUCUUAAUUAACCAGCAAGUGUUGUAUACUUGUGUUGUAUACCUGCUCUAAGCAGCAUGCACUUGUGUUCAUAAAGCCAUGAUCUUUAUAUAUCACCAUUCAUAAUUAUCCAUCUUUAAUUAUUUAUUUGCCAGGAGUUUCUUUUGUAUAGGACCGACAAACAUGCAUUUCUUAUAAAUUUCCUAUUUUUGUUAUAUAAAGCGCCUACUACUGGGAUAAUCCGAUUGAAUAUAGUAAAAAGGAUUCUUAUGAUUAACUCCGAUCCUUUGUCUUUGAGUGGGCGGUUUUAAUCAAUAUAAUUAUUGGUAAUUACAUGCAUAUCUACUGUAGUGCACAGUAUAGGCAAAUCUAAUGAUUUAUCAUUUUGAGUUUUUUUUCGUCUUGUGAAGUCUUUAGCACAAAAUAGAAAUCAGAUGUAAAUGAUUUGAAUUUUGCAAAGAUCUACAUGUAUUACACAAAAAUCAUUGUACAGAUCUAAAUAAGCCUAUAUUGUACUAUCAAGUAUACGUAAGAAAUACAACGUCUGCGAGCAGGCUAACUAUCUAGCCAAGGGGGAGCUCUAUAAUAUAUUUUUUUAACCCUCUUCUCUUCCUUCUCUUGCGGAAUACGGAGUAGUCCGUAUUCCGACUUCGUACUCCGCACUCCGUCUUUCUACUACGCCUUCUCCGUGAUCAAAUAAUGCUUCUGCAAUUUCUAUACAAGACUGUGAUUAAAUUUCACCGACAAGGAGGCCAACAAUUCUGUCAAGGGGACGACCUUUGGACGGCAAAGGGCUCAGCAUAGGAUAGUACAAGGUGUAUUAAAAAAGUCUGACAAUCCAACUUUGGCAUGUUAUUGUGCGUUAGAUAUUGAAUUUAUAGAUUUGCUUUAUUCACAUUAAUAAAGAUCACUGAAAUGACACCAUUCUGAUACUAGAAUAUGACCAAAUACGAUCCGAUUUAAAGUGGCUCGCGCUCGUCCGAAAUCGCAUUUUCUAUACCCAUGCCCAUGAGAAUUAAUGGAUUGAAGUUCUUUCACUUUUUGAACAUUUGCCCGAAUGUGCUACUGAAACGUUAGGCAUCGUGAAUUCGGUCUGCAAACCCCCAGUUUCUCACUUAAACCACGAUGUUCCUUGUUAGAUAUCGCGAGUGGAUUCAGUUAAGUUUACCAAGACUUGAUAAUUUUAAUUAAUCCAUGUGAUGUAACGCCAUCUUUGUUCAAGGUCUUCGAAACUUUGAGAACAUUUCAAUACUAAGACAAUACCUCCACAUUCCAUUCCAUUCCCAAACGAGGAAAAUGCGAUUUCGACCGAACAUUGUAAGUCGGUUCAUAAUUGGUCAUUCGUUGUCGUAAUGACACAAAAAUGAAGUCAUUUGACUUAUUUUGACAACUAAAAGAGUCCAGAUCUAUUUAAGACUUAUAUAAGUGUGGAAAAUGUAGAUAUCGCAGACGCAAAGAUAACAUGCCAAACUAUAAGUCAGAUUAACUUUUUUAUACAGCCUAUAUACAUUAUUCGAUGUGAUGUUCUCAAGUAUAUUAUUAAAUAUUAAUAUACAUUACAUGUAUGAAUUGGUCUUGAAUUGAUCUUGAAUUUUGGACUUUAGUGUAAAGUUAGUUUAGAGAACAAAUGGGAAAGGUUUUUCUCUAAUUAUACUACUGUUGUCUAGACUAUAUAAUAUGACGUUAAAGGCCACUCACUGAUCGCAUGUUGGGGAAAAAACGGAAUCUGGUGUAAUUUAAAACGACUUUAAAACGGCUCAGAGAAACACUUUUUAUACAAACUCCGUACUCCCCACUCCCCCAUGCCCAUGCAAAAUUUACUUUCCCUAAAUUUUGAAUAUCAUGGAUCCCCCAGAAAUUCAGUAAGUGUUUAUAGUGCUCUCAAAACAAAAGGAAAUGCCACAUUAGUGACUUGAUAGAUUUUAAAAAUAUGCCAGGGGCUAUAUAUAGUGAAAAAUCCAUAACUUAUAACUAUCCAUGAGGUAGGCUAUAAGUAAAUGGGCUUAACAAACUUUGAAUUGAGUGAUCUAAAACCAUAUGGUUCAAUCGUACUAAAUACACGUAUUUCUAUUAUUGAACAAAUUUUAUAUUUGCGUAAAAAAAUAUUGAUUUAUCAAUGAAAACCACAUGUCUGAACGUACAUGUUAGUAAUUUUGUCGAUGAUUGUGAAGAAUUUAGAUAGAUGGCAUUUAGUUCCCGCUGAAUUGUAGUGAUGAAAAAUCCCCCAAAUCCCAUGUGACCGCACAACCAGCAAAUUAUGAAUCAUCCACUCGAUAUUAUGACGAAAUUGGAAACAAAUUCAACACUGAAAGAAAAUCAGCAAUUCACUUAUAAAAGAACUGAAUACUAAAAGCGUUUUGUAAUAAUAUGCAAUUUAUUAAAGUGCAUCUAUAUUAAUAUAUUUCCUCAAGGCUCUCUUUCCCUAAACUAUGGAGGCUGCUUAUAGUUAUUUUCACGAUGUGCAUGUAUAGGCGUCCCUGGAUUCUGAUGCCCUGUUUAUAUGCCUUCGUAAUUCCUCAAAGGUACAAUUAAAUAUUUUUAAAUUAAGUUGGAAAACAGAUGUUGUUUACAAACUCCGCUAAGGAUUUUGUUACAAAGUCAAAAUUGUGACACUUUAAUUAUCAUGAAAAGAAAAAAAGACCUUAUGGAAUAUAUAUGUGAAUUUCAAAUUAAACAUUUUAAUUGAUUGACCACGACAGCAAUAUUAUAUAUACAUUCAGGCACUACAAGCAUGCAAUGGCUAUGUUUUAUCUAUAGUUUAAUUAGGUGACCUAAUACAGUCAAUACAGUCAUGGCUGCUUAAGAAUGAAAUAUACAAACUAAUGAUUACUCACAAUGCAUGCACAAAAUAGGGGGCCUUUGGGGAGGGGGGGAAUGCAGCCGUGCUGAUCGGGCAGAUACCAACUUAAAAAUUGGGCAAUUUUGCUAGACCUGCCCACCUUCGUAUGUAAUGUGUUCUGUCAGGAUAUUAAUUUUGAAAUAUUAACAUUUAAAGUUUAGUCAUAGAAACUGAAUGACAGAUUGAAAUUUUGACGUAUUUUAAAGAGUGAAAUCCUUGAAUAUUCGUAAAUAGGUCUUAUUAUUUUAAAUUUGACUUUAUUUCCAGGCGUCUAUAUAUAUAGACGUGUUCCUUCUGUUUAUCGUCUACUCACCACUAUGAAUAAACACGUGAUAAUGUCGGACAAUUUCCAUCAAGGUCAGGGCUAUAUUUAGGACUUUAUUUGUCCUGUUGUCUGCAUGAGCCUUCAAUUGUUAUAAUUGUAAAAUUAAUUUUAAAAUGUCUCCCCCCCCCCCUAAUUAUUUCCACCCUUACGCGCCUUUAUGGAUGGUCCCUGACAAAAGUUGGUAUAACAUCAGCUAAUAGACGUCUCAACGUUCACUGAUGGUUGACUGGAUGACAUCAUCAAAAUUGUUCCAUUUUUUAAGCUCUAGGACUGCAAUUAUGGCGUUUUCUAAACCAAAUUCGCAAACAAAUUGAAUGUAAAUUGACUGUAUAUUUUACAAAAAUGGUUAUAUAUUAUUUCACACAAAUAAUUACUUUAUUACGCAAAUUUUACCUGAAAAUAUCAAAAUAUUAACUGGAAUCUUACCGGAUUUUUGUCUGAGUUUUACAGUUGGGGGGUGGGGGUGGUUUACACGUCACAUCUCGCAAAAAAUGCCAAAAUUAAACCUAAAUUUCACACUUUUCCUUCGGUAAAUUGUUUUAAAACUUUGCACAUUUCUUAAUAUCGGCUAAACAAGCUCAAUAUCCUUUUUUUCUUAAACUUUUAUUGAAGGGAAUAAUCUAAGUAACGUUCCAUAGAAUUUUUUAAAAUUGAAGAAAACAAAAUCAUUAUCCGAGAAAGAUCUUUUAUACAAAUUUUUAAAACGGCCGGAAAAAAACAAAUUUUGAGCUUAAUUAUCCUAAGCGCACUGUCACCAUGUAACGGACUUUCAGCGCAAAAGUAGUAAAUUGCAAUGUUCAGGAGAGCAUUGUCAAUGUGUCCAAUAAAUUUCGUCUUCGUGUCAUAUAAAGUGAAGAAACAGGAGUUUUCUGCAUGGAUACAAAAGUGUAGUAUAAUGCAAAAAUCCUAUGGAGCCACCUUAAAAUAGUUUUUUAUUAUUAAUUUUUCUGUGUUUGUGUUGUGUACUCAGGUGAAUAAUAUGUUUGUGAUGUUACUCUGAGUGCAUAUCCACACCGGGCGAGCUUGAAAAAUAUGCCCAGCCACGGUGGGAUUCGAACCUACGACCUUUGGAAUACUAGCCCAAUGCUCUUCCAACUGAGCUACGCGGUCAGGACGGUUCGAGUAAGUGAUAUUUCGGAACAGUAACUAGUUCCUUCAAUACCAAUGUGUUCUAGUAAUAUGAAUUUUUCUGUGUUGGUGUUGUGUACUCAGGUGAAUAAUAUGUUUGUGAUGUUACUCUGAGUGCAUAUCCACACCGGGCGAGCUUAAAAAAUAUGCCCGGCCACGGUGGGAUUCGAACCUACGACCUUUGGAAUACUAGCCCAUUUUUAUUAUUAACCCCGUUUUUAAUUAUUAUUUUAUGACUUUUAAACACAGAAAUCACUCGUGGUCACUCGUGGUCAUUCGUGGUCACUCGUGGUCACUCGUGUGUACUUUUAGACAAGACAGUUCCGGAGUGAUGCUGUUCCGGUGUUCCGUUGUUCCGGUGUUCCUGGUUUUACUAAUAGCCAAGUUGCACAUCUUCAUGGUCAUAGAGGAUUGCGUCUGCAUGAGCACUGAAAAGAAAUUUUUAAACUGCACUAUAUAGUACCGGAGGAUUUUGCCCAUGCAGAGUUAAAAAUUUCACUUGUCAAAUGGUUUGGUUGAUAAAUUUAUCGGGGAAAUUUUCCGAUGUUAAAAAUGAAUGAAUAAUUAAAUCAUGAUGGAUUUCACGUAUUAUGCAUAUAUUAUGCAUAAUAUUACAUUAUUUUUCAACCGAUUAAAUAAAUAUAGCCUUUAGGCCCGUUUACACGUUUCUGAUUUAAGUUCAGCACUAGAGGUGUGCGUCGGAUCGGAUUGACCUCUUUGAAUCCAAUGGUUUGUCUAAGUUCUCAAUCCGAAUCCGAUCCGAUCCGAAGAUGAAAAAACAAUCCGAUCCGAAAAAAUGUUUAUAAAAUCCGAUCCGAUCCGAUGCUAAAAUUCGUAAUCCGAUCCGAUCCGAACUUAAGUUAUUAUAUACAGCGUGCGUUAAUUAUUCGGUGUAUGAAGUUCAACGUAUUUUUUCAUGAUCAUAAACGAUAUAUUGGAAAUAAUGAAUUUCCAGCAAAAAUAAGCAGAUACGAAUCCGAUAAAAAUUGCAGCGCGAUAUCACAUAAUUAUGCCUUAUGCAGUUAAACGACUAGUCACAUAGUUUAUUAUAUGCAUGACCUUGAGCUGGGUUUACAAUUUAAAACAUCUUAAAGUUUAUCACUAAUAAAUCUCAUUGUCAGUGCUUCAUGACACAUAAACCUGACAAACUAAACAAAGAAUCACAACAUUUCUAUAUCCCAAUUCCCAUACGUAACCGAUUUAAGAAGAAUCCACAUAUAACGCCAGUGUUUCUUUUGUCAGAAAUAUCAAAACACUUUUUUUACUUUAUUGUCAUCACUCGGCAUUAUAUAGUAUUACUCCGCUUCGACCAAAUCACUCGGCUUACUCAGCUCCAAAGCCUUCCAGGCACUUCCUGCUACAGAACUAUCUUAAUUUGUUAAAAUAUUCAAGUAAUUCGACGCAAUACAAGAAAAAAACCAAAUCCGAUCCGAUCCGACAAAAAACCUACAAAAUCCGAUCCGAUCCGACAAUAAAAAAAGGAAAUCCGAUCCGAUCCGAGUGAAUCGGAUCGGAUUCGUAUCGGAUUCGCACACCUUUAUUCAGCACAUACUUUUUUAAAAACGACUAGGCCUAUAUAGGUACUCUUGUUUGUGCUCUGUUGCAAAUAUUCAUGAUUUUAUAUAGACGACAUCAUGUUGAACUUGGAUAGUCAUGUUGAACUUGGAUCAAGAGUCGUCUCGACAUUCUAUUGCGUCAAUGAUAAUCGGAUAUACAGUCUAUUGUCUAUAGAAGUAAUGGAGUUACUGUGAUUUUUGCAAAAUCAGUUUUUUAUUAAAAUAAUAUAACAGCAGCUGUUGCUUCUCUCACACUUACAUUUAUAAUACGCUGAUUAUAUUUAAUCCGUUCUAAUUCCCCACUAAUAAUUAAUAAAUUCUGAUAAAAUUAAUAUUCAAUAUAUAGCGCGGCAUUAUUUAUUAACAGCAUGGCCAUGGGUAUACUUUCCAAAUUCCAAUCAUCACAAUCGAGACUGAAUUAAGAACAUAUUGACAGUCUUCAAAAUUGGUCAAAUACUACCAAAAUUACUGAAUUUUGAUUCCUAUAAUUCUAUUCUUUUCAUCUAUCUAAUCUUGGCAUCAUUACUGAAUUGAACGUACAUUAACAUGAAUUAAAUACUGUCAUAUAGGGCAUAGGUGCAUGUGGAAUUAUUUAAAGAUCACACUGUCAGAUAACUAGUUCGUCGGGGGUGGAAACGGAAUAUUAUUCGUGGCAUUAUUCAAUAUUUCUACCUCCACUCGGGCUUCGGUAUUCCUUUGCUGCAAAUAUUCAUUCUAUACUCCUACCCCUACUAUAUAUAUAUAUAUAUAUAUAUAUAUAUAUAUAUAUAUAUAUAUAUAUAUAUAUAUAUAUAUAUAUAAAGAUAAAAUAAACCUGGUUUACUUCAUAAGAUUUAUUCACUACAAACUUGUUUCGUAUGACAAGCAAUGCUUGCCACACUCAUCAGGUGAAUUUAAAUGUCGCUCUAUACUUUGGUAUAUCGAGCACUCUACUCAUAUAUGAUUCUAAAUACAUAUUUGGUAUAUAUAUAUAUAUAUAUAUAUAUAUAUAUAUAUAUAUAUAUAUAUAUAUAUAUAUAUAUAUUUUUUGACUAACAUUUUUAAUCGGCCUCGUACAUGCUUAUUUUUUCUCCACUUGGCAUGAAAGCAUGUCAUUCAAUAGCUAAAAAGCCUGACCUUUCCGAAUAUGAAAACCAAUUGUUCAUACGCCGAGUAAUUCACGUAUAGGCUAAUAGCGCGCUGAAAUUCGAUUUCCUUUUUUUUUAUACACCCUGUAUAUAACAGUAGCGAUUGAUACACCGGGUGGAAAGCGUAAUUUAAAAAUGAAAAUUAAAGCCCAGCAAAUGACUUUUAGACAAGACAUAACAAAAUAUAAAAUUUAUUGGCUAACGUUUCGUUGUAUUGUAAUUUUAUAUUUUGUUAUGUCUUGUCUGAAAGUCAUUUGCUGCAUGGGCUUUAAUUUUCAUUCUUUAUAAUCACCCUGUAUAUAUAUAUAUAUAUUCGAGAAAUCAAUAAAUACUUUAUUUUCCAAAGUUAAAGGUAAUGUUAUAGGCCUACAAUUGUUAAACACGGGAUUAACAACCCUUUCGUUAGAUUACACAUGCACCACGUUAAACUCUUUAAACCCAACAAAUUUGCUUCAGUUACCAAAAUGCUGAAGACGCUUCAUUCAUCUCCGCAAGCGAUGUAGUUAAUAUCUGGAUUGGGCCAAUAUAUCAUCAGUUUCAUGACCAGCAUCGUUGAUCUUCACUUCUUUAACCUUUCUAUAGCAGCUCUCCAGGAAUCAAAAAUCUUCAAAGCCCACUUUGUCGCGUAUCUUGUACAUGGAGGCGUCGCUCUUUCGGGCAACGUUUGCUCCUCUUCAGCACUUCGAGCGCUUCGAAACCGACUCAUUAACGACACAAGUCAAAUUUUCAUUUGAAAACUCCGUUUAACGACUUGUAUGACUUGAUAAUUAAUCCAGUCAUUAAUAAAUGCCGCACGCUGAUUGGUUGAUUACCGGUCUGGAAAAAGUCAUCUUGCCCGCUCAAGAAAUUCAUCUUGCCCGCUCGUGAAAUUGUAAAAACACUGUCCAAAAAUUUUCAAAAAGAAGCUAUAGUAAAUUUUAUUUAAUGCCGUAUAGUGACGACGAGGAACACUCACCGAGUGAAUUUUAUUAUCCUGAUGAAAUCUCGGAUGAAACAAAUGACCCAAAUGGUAGGCUUGAAGGCGAAAACGCCGAACAAAACAACAACAAAAACAGCCAAGAAAAAAUUGAAGAAUUUAUACACAACCACAAAGCGAAAACCACAUUAAAGAAAACGAAAAGCGACAUGAAGGUUUUCCAACGUUACCUGGAGACAGUAAUUAACAAAGGUGAAAAACAAAUUGAGUACUUAUACCGAAAGCAAAACUUGACCACUUACUCUGCAAAUUUUUUAUCAAUGUCCGUAAAGCAAAUAGCGCGCGACGAAUACGAACCGUCUUCACUGUCAAGUUUCCAGAGAAGUUUACAACGAUACUUAACUGAAAAUAACAUUCAAACAAACAUUUUAAAAGACAUUGAAUUCGAGAAGUCUCGACAAGUCUUAGCUGCCAAAAGAAAAAAUCUUGCAAAACAAGGAAAAGGAUGCAAACCACAAGCAACGAGAGCACUAAUUACGGACGACGAAGAGAACAUGCACUCUAUUUGUCACUGGCCAGUUUGGCGAUAGCUCUCCAAGAACUAUGUGGUGGUUUCUAUCUAUAUGCACUUUGGUUUUCAUGCCAGAGACGAAAGUCGAAAGUUACGCUGGGGGCGACGCCGUUGAACUACAAAACGACCGAGAAGACAAUCGUGAAAUGUUGGUUUGGCUUGCCGAACGAGGAACGAAAACCCGCUCAUGCAGGACAAGAGCAAGGUCACCAAAGAGCAUUUCAACCGAAGUUGUAUGCUACAAACUCCGAUAGGUGCCCGGUAGAAUUUUACAAAAAGUUUCAAAGCCACCGUCCUGUGGAAAUGAAUAAACCGGACUCACCAUUUUAUUUGGCUGUCAAACACAAUUGCAGAGCUAACGACCAAAUCUGGUACAAGAAGUCAUCGCUUGUCAAAAACGAAAUUGGGAACUUUCUGCAUGUCAACUGCAGCAAAAAAGGGGAACUUCCAACAAGGUCAAGGAGCAAAAAUUACCAACCAUUCUGUUCGGAAAACAUCAAUUUCAAGGUUACUCGACGCUGACAUCCCUGAAAAUUAUGUAGCACAACUGAGCGGGCAUAAAAGCAUCGACAGUUUCAACAACAUCAGCGAAAAGUGUCUUUAACAUUAAGUAUAGAGGUCAAAUCGAAACUAAAUCCAACGUGAGUCAGUCAACAAGCUGCAACCCAAAAUCAAGUCCGGUCCACGUACGUUUUCAUCGUGAGAGUCCUAUUGAUCUACUGUAAGCCCUUUCGAUACAUGUAAAUUUGUAUUCUUAACAAUAUUGAAUUUGAAAAUUGAAUAUUUCAUUGAAAAUGACUAAAGCCAUGUAAUAAUUAUCCCAUGCAACUGUUAGGAAGGGCGAAAUUUUGAACGGAGAACAAAAAUCCUAAAGGAAAGGUGAAGUUUCUAAAGGGGGUGGGGGGUGGGGGCGAAUUUCCUAAAGAGGGGCGAAUUUCCUAUCUAGGAAUUUCGCCCCCUAGCGGCGAUAUUAUUAGGAUUUUUGCCCCUGGAGGAGGGGCGAAAUUGAAGGGGGGGGGGGGGCGAAACUCCUGGAACACCGGGCAAUUUCCAUCAAUGUCAGGAAAAUCUUUGUCAACCCCUUUGGUCACAUUGAGAUUUUCGUAGCAACACUGUCAUGACUGCCUUAGCAACAACAAAAUCAAUAGACAGAUUUAGAUCGAGGACGCGGACGUCAAAGACGACGUGAAAAUGGCGUGUUGUGCCCAUGUAUGGAUAUGCCACGCCAUUUUGACGCCAUUUUCACGUCGUCUUUGACGUCCGCGUCCUCAAUCUAAAUCUGUCUAAUAUCAACAAAGUUUACAACCAGCCGAAUUUCGACCGAAAUGAAGGAAAACACCCUCAUUCAUUGGAAAAUCCAUUUUUAUAUCACCCAUUUAAGAUAAACUUAAUGAUAAAACUUUGGGAAUUUAUAUUUUACAGCAUUGUACUAAAUUUGUGCGUUCUGUCGAGGUUUUUUCCAUGAUAAUAAACUAAUUUCGCUGUUCCUAAGGCGACGGUGCUAAGGAGAGUACAUUGUAGCCAAUAUAGGCACUCGUUUUUACAUCGGGCACUUACAUCUAGGAAUUGAAUGUGGACCCAUUCGGAAGCCUCAAUUUGUCCUUUUCGAUCUUUCGAUUGACUAAAGUUUAUCCCGCAAUGCUCACUCUACUCUUAGAAUCUCUUUGUUGCUAACAGUAAAAUUACUUCCGGUAAAGAGCUGAUCUCAACAAGGCUUAGUAAUGAAUGCGCGGAAAUAGACAACGAAAAUCCGAUGAAAACAUAUUUUUUGACAAAUGUAGAUUUUGUUGAACAAAAAAUUAGCACAUAUUUGAAAAUAUUUGAUUGACAAUAUACAUCAUGCAGUUGGUCACGAGGUACAAUUCCAAUCUUUGUUUUAACCUCAUUACACACUCUGGACUUCGGCUCGUUUAGGCAUUUAUAUUUUUAAAUGAAAAAUAUUGGUUAACCGUAGGUCCUUAAGUUCGCCUGACCGUCAUAUAGAUUGAAGUAAUGCUUUGUGGAGAAUAAUGAUUACUUCAUAUAUUUGAACAACUGCACAAAUCAUCGGUUGCUACGAAACACCAAUUUAUUUCAAUUAUUUUUCUGCUGUUUCGUAUUAAAUGAUUAUUAACAGAUAUAAACUUUUGACUGCUACAAAAAUGAAAACUUUAGCACGAAUGAAUUAAUUACUAUUUGGCAAAUUGCCGAUAUUUGUUUUUACGUUUCUGUGUAAAAAUCUAUAAGAGCUGCAUUAUGUAUAUGCAUUUUUAUCAGUGAACCGAUUUUAAAAAUACGAGGAUCAUUAAACAAAUCCAAAUCUUCGAAGAAACGAAGGAGCUCUUUUUACAAACCACAACUGCCUCUUGCGAUUCUUACCUUCAUAGUCACGACAGUCAUUGAAUUGUUCAGCUAAAGCGAAAGGUCGACAAAUCCUUAGUAUUUACUAUAAUUUCCCCUGGUGCUUUAAUAGAAAAAAACUGCUCAAGCUAUUAUGAUCUCGACGGGUGGCGUUAUUGCUACUUAGAAUAAAUUAUUGGUCUCAUUAAAAAUCAAGGAGAGGCAGUUGAAGGAGAUUAAAUCGUGAAAGUAGUUUUAAUAUCAAUAACAAAUAUUUUUAGUUGAAACUCAAGAGCAACUCCAGCUUCGGACCAAGUAAAUUACCAAGUAGAAAUCAAGUGAACACGAGGUACAUUGUGGAAUAUACAAAGAACAGUAGCAGGUAGGCUUUGAAAGCAUGCCGUUGUUUGCCUUUCAGGCAUUGUUGUGGCAAGACGUUAUAUUAUAACAAGAGUUAUACUUAUAAAAACACGGCUAAAAUAGUAUAACAAGAGACAAUACAACUUUUGGAUAAUGUGUACUGUCAAGCAAAAUUAUGUGCUAAGCUUCAAGCUCAUGCCAUUGAAAUAUUAGACGUUAAAAUAUUCUUGAACUGGGAAUCCUUUGAUCUUUCAUUGCGUAUUGCUAAUUGGAGAAAACAGAGCAGAGGUAUUUAUAGUGACAAUACUAGCAUAUCUGCGUGCACGGACUAGCAUAUCAAUAGACACCCAUGUCAUUAUAUCUGCGUGAACGGGUCAGUUGUAACGCAAAAAAAAAUAGAGCUACAGGUUAUUUUGACAACACGGACGUUAACCGGAAAUCGACUGAGCUGCUGUAGAUGGCGAAUGAUGGCGAUAGCCGCUCUUAUUUGAAAUGACAGACGUGAAACUUCACUGCCGAUCGUAAUUUAAAACAAGGACGGCUGUCGCCAUCACUCGGCAUUUACAACAGUUCGAUUCAGUGACUUCCGGUUGGCAUACGCGUUGUCAAAAACGUCGCUUGCUCAUAAAGUAUGAGAAACUGAGAAAGCGUUUUUAUAAAUACAUUGAAAAUGUCAUUACAUCGGUGCUUUUCAACCAAUCAAUAAAUACAUCGUGGUUUGAACGGAUGGUAUCAUUGUGGACUUUUUGUCCCUUUAGCUCAAGAGUGUACUGUUGAAAUCAAACUUUUCUAAUUUGUAGUUCGGUUAAUAGUCGAAAAAAGAUAUUUGUUGUGUGUAUAUUCCUGUAUCGCACCAGCCUCUUUUAAUACUCCGAAAUUCUCAGAGAUAAAUAAAACUAGUUUCAUAUUAUUCUGACACUACAGAGUACAACGGAAAAUGCGUUGUCUCUUCGAACUCGUAUCACUUCGGUUUCUUGACCGCCGCCCUACUCAUCGAGCUAUGGUUCUGAAAUAGCAUUGAAAGAGUGCGCGUCCUCCAAGACAAGCGUGAAGUCGCUGCGAAAAUAUUUUGUGCACCUAAACUGGAUCGAUAAGACGUCUGACUCGCGACCAAUCCCCGUUGAUUCGAUAGCUCAAUGAGUAGAGCAGCAGUCUAGAAACCAUGAGAUGCGAAUUCGAAUCCCGCUCGAGACAACGAAAUUGUCGUUGUACGUACUCUGCAGUUCUAGAUUGAUAUGAAACUAUAGUUUUUCAUAACUUCUAACUAUGACAUCUGUUCAGGUCUAAUUCUCUCUAGGUGCAAAACAUGUACGUUUCUGUAUACAACAAGUGCACAUAUCGCUAUUUAUUUAUAUGCAAUCAGUAUAUAAAUAUACAAACAAUUGAUAUGUACCUCAAGAAGAGCCUGCGGAGGAGGCAAGGGAAAGUAGGCUCAUAAAGAGGGAGGGCGAUUUAAUCUUAUUUUUCCAACCAAAAUUUCAAUUUUCUCAAUCCCAAUCACCUCACCCACUAUUUUGCCAAAUCAUACUUCUUAGUGCAGGUCAAAGUCCCAUUUUUCUAAUGACAAAUAGACACAUUCCAUUUUAACGUUUGACCUUUCAUAACCUUCGGAAACAGCGCGGAAAGCGGGGACAUCUUGAGAUUUUCCGGUAAGGCAACGGCAUGCAAUCAUGGGAAUUUCUAGUCUAGGCAGGUGUCUUGGCAGGUGGCUCUUUAACUAAAUUUCACUUGUCAACUCUGAUGAAAACAUGAAAAAGUCUACAUUAAAUAAACAUCAGAAAAUGGAGGAUAUAGUUUAUUAUUUGGCUUAUUUCAAUCACCAAAACAUUACUCGGAAAGGCAAAGUUGCUCAAAGUUCUCAAAAGAUGUCGAGCCCAAUAUAUAGCCUGUCAAUAGGGAAAGCCUUAAUCCAUUUACAAUAUCAUUUUCAUGCAAGUCAUGUAAUGGGGAAAGUUCGAAAUAGCCAAAAAAAACUGAUAACUAUUUCUUUGACUGCAUGGAGGGACUAAAUAUUAGCAUGCACCUUCAAGAGUGCACAGAGGGGAAGGAGAAAGUGAGUUAAGGGAGCUCCAAAUGUAAAAUUAUUAUUUUGAAACGAUCUCCGACUCCGGUCCUCAGAUUUACUUUUAUGGGUAUUGAAGAAUGCCCUAACGUCCCCCUUACGUACCUAAGUGCUACAUGCGAUGGUAAUCACUAUGGCCCCAAAGAUAUUUUUGUCCUGUGCUCCGUAAUAUUUCUGGGCGGUCAUGUGUACCGUACCCGAAACCCAGCAUGGACUCUUCUACCGUCCUUCAAAAAAAUCCGCGCAAUGAUCCAUGAAAAUGCUCUCAGACCAGAACAGAUUCGUUUAGUAGGCUAGUGUUGCUUUUCCCUUCGGAACUACGCAACGUUGAUUUCAGCUUAGAGCAUAAUUAUUUCGAUUUGAAGCCUUGAUUUUCAUUUAGAUAUCGCUAAUAUAUGUCAUACGAUUAUAUACGUACACAACAUAGCCUAAGGGCUAAGGUGCCUAUAAAGGCUAAGGAAAGUAAAAAAAAUUGAUGCAUGUUGCUUUGUAAUAUUUUCACUUAUUUCCACAUGAAAAGAGCGAUAUAUCUCGAUUUAAAUUAAUCAUUUGAACGCUCUUUUAUUGUUUAGGACAUCGCCCCUGUAUUGCCCACACACUAAGUGAAACGGUUGUUUUGAUCACUAUUUAUCUGAAUAUUAAGUUCACUAUCUAGGUCUGUUGUACUGGUAAUGCAAUGCGUGUGGGCUACACGAAGAUGCUAUUUUUGCUUUUAUAUUUUUCUCAAAUCAUUCGCGUUGUGUAUCAUAUAUUAUUAUACUUUCAAGCUGUCAAUCAAAGUAACUUUAACAUAGACUAAGAAACCUGAACAUUGCCACGGCAACAAAUAUAAUGAAUAAACAGAAUGUCAUCUUAUAUAACGAAUUACAAAUUGGGACAAAAUGUUUUGUGAACAAAAUUUUACCGGUGAAAGUCACGGUGAAAUAUAUCUAGAAGUUCUUCUAUAUUUACUGACAUGCAUAUUAUAUAACUUUUUCUAUGGAAUUUUACUAUACACCAUUUGUCAUUUCAAAUAAAACUUUCAUGAUUCUUGUAAAAUUUCAAAUAAAAUAUGCAGUUCACUCGUAUAUUUAGUCGCAAAACAACGCCCAAAGUAUCGCAUAUCUAAAGAAUAGCUAAACUUCCACAAUCAGCAUGUGCAUAUACCUUUAAUAUUAGUGUUGUAUACAGAGCCUUCAAUUUGUCUUAUAUAUACAUGCCGGCUUUCAUCAAAUCAGUUAUAUAUGAUUAACAGCGUCUGACGUCAAACGCAAGCGCGUUGUUCAACAUAAUUUUAAUAAAAAAAUUAAAAUUUUGCACCUAUCAGGUUGAACAGCCGGACAUUCUAUACCUGCAAUUCUAUCACUAAAUAUUCAUACAUAAGAUAUUAUACACACUGAAUAUAAUAGCCAAGAAAGUCUACUUGAAAACCUUUUGGGCUGUUUCUUCUGUAAGUAUAUUACGCUUGUAUCUAAUUGUCAUUUCUAUAAGCAGUAAAAUCUGUUGUAUUGAACCUGUAUUUUCUGUUGAGCAUGCGACAACUUUUUAAUACUUGCUGUAUAAUUAAUGCGAAUCCACAGAAACGUUUAUAUAGAGCAGUCAAGUUAUUCUUUUGCUUUAUUUUUGCAUGAAAAUUCAGAUAUAUAUGCAGUAACAAAUGUACAUGCAUGCAUGUUUGAAAUAAAUUAUCAUCUAACAUUUGAUAUAUAUAUAAUAUGGAAAAAAGUUUGUUGAAAUAUUUCAUUAUAAAUGCAGUUCACACAGUAUCAUUUGCAGUUAACCUUGCCUUUUGUUCUAUUAUAAGCUAACUUAUUUAUCCCGGCCAACUGUUUCUGGAUAUUUUCUCUUUAAUAAUGUCUGUUUUUAUUUUGCUAUAUAAUUUGAGUUAAGGCAUUGUAUAUUUAAAACGUGUUUUGAAACCGCCUUUAUAUGUAACGUGGUAGUAUAUAUAGUAGCUAGUCCAUAUUGGCAAAAUUCAGCUUAAUAUUAUGUCAAUCUUCAUGCAUGCAUACGGCCGGGUUGUCGGAAAUUUACAUUUCAAAUAAUGAUUGCUUUAUUCGGCAUCCUAUUAUGUGCAUGAAUCGUAAUUAAAUCGUGAUUUAGCACUGAACAUUUUUCAUGUUUCUGAAAAUGAUGAUUGACAACGGCAAUGAAAUUCAUUUGAAGUCCGCAAAUAAAGAAAUAUAUAUAUAAUAGAAAUUUUUUCUUUAUGCGUGUAUGCAGGUGCAAAUAUUGUCUAUUGAUUUAUUAAUAUUACGUAUAGCAGAUCUAGAUCAGUUAAAUUAUAUUGAAAAACAAAAAAACCAUGCAGCCUAGAGAUUUUGAUAUGUUUCCUAUAUGAAAACAAUUUUGUUGAACGAUUUUGGGUUUUGUACCCACGCUUCAUAUACGAAACGCCUAAAUGUUUUACUUCACAUGGCUCAAUCAUUACUUGUCAAUCAUAUUUGAUGCAUGAAACUUCAACACCGAUAGCUUUGACUUUGUUGCAUGCUAUUAAAAACAAACUAUAUAAAUUGAAACGACCAAAAAUGGACACAUUGUCAUGAUUGAAAGUCAUGGAAGGGCAUCUAUAUAGAGGAAGCGAAGAACAACGAAACACCAGUUAAACAAAACAUAUUUUAAACAAGUUAUUUUGUAUCCGUUUUAUACAGAAUCUUCUCCCAAUGCCGUGGAAACCGUUGGAGCGAGAAUGCCUAUACCUUACAUUUCCUAG
rnacentral:lncRNA from 1 species